rnacentral:lncRNA from 1 species
UAAAUUUUAUUAUUUAAUAGAUUAUUCUUGCAUCACUACACUUUCACACAUUGUACAUUUUGGUCCCUAUAGCUCUGAUGGUGUCAGUUAGUGGUUCUUUGGUUCCACUCAAAUCUUAGAAUUACGACACUGGCUACCAUCACUCAUAAGUAAUGAGUGAAUUUCCUUCGUUGCAUGGAUCCUUGAGUGGAGAGACGAGCCAAGGAA